GGUUGAUCCUGCCAGUAGUCAUAUGCUUGUCUCAAAGAUUAAGCCAUGCAUGUCUAAGUAUAAGCAAUUAUACUGUGAAACUGCGAAUGGCUCAUUAAAUCAGUUAUAGUUUAUUUGAUAAUACCUUACUACUUGGAUAACCGUGGUAAUUCUAGGGCUAAUACAUGCAUAAAAUCCCGACUUCUGGAAGGGAUGUAUUUAUUAGAUAAAAAACCAAUCGGGAAACCGUUUUUAGGUGAAUCAUGAUAACUUUUCGAAUCGCAUGGCUUUAUGCUGGCGAUGGUUCAUUCAAA
rnacentral:rRNA from 1 species